CUUCCUGAAGUUCAGAAAGCCAGUGCAGACAGGGGCCAGACACGAUGCAGGUGCUUUACUCUGGUGUGAUGCAAUCAAGAGGUCCUGAGACCCGAAGCCAACAGGACUCCAGAAAGACGUCUCCAGCUGAGGUCAUCUCCUGAACCACGGUCUUCCUGUGGCUGACGGUCUCUCAUGCCACGCUCCUUCCCCGAAGCCUGCAGGUGAACAGAUGUUUCUGAUGAUGGAGAGCAGCCCUGCACAUGUCCUACACGCCAGCCCACAGAGCACGUCCUCACACCACAGCUCCUGAUCUUCAAAAUAAUUCCCGGAGGUGGGAAGGCAUACACCCCAUUACCACAUGAAGACAAAGCCUGCGGUGCCACAGAGGUUCGCAUAUCCUGGAUCACCGUGCCCCUCAGCCUCUUCUACCACUCUGACCCACGUCAGUCCUCCGGAGUCCAAGUUCCCUCCCAGGAGAGAUACGUGGGCCACCUGCUCUGCUAAAAACCAACAGAGAAAGGAGCAGCCCUUUCCUAAGCCUCUCUACCUCCUCAACAGGUCUCAUCUCUAGUACCAUCUUCAUGGGGGUAAGCGGAACACGGGCCAGUUCGAAUCUAUUUAUUACAGACACCACAGGCAGUCCAGCUACAAAUCUAACUAUUCUAGAGUUAUGUUCUUCCACUAAACAAACACUUGUUUUCUGUGGAAAAAAACAAAAACAUUCCUUUUUCAAUUUUCUGGCUAAAAUAAAGUGUAAGAAUCACCCUGCUGAAGCACGAGUAAUGAAAACUCAGAGACAGAAAUGGGGUUUCAACCUGAAGAUCCGAAAAGCAAAGCAGC